GGAGCGGUAGUUCAGCUGGUUAGAACGCCUGCCUGUCACGCAGGAGGUCGCGGGUUCAAGUCCCGUCCGUUCCGCCA
rnacentral:tRNA from 1 species